rnacentral:rRNA from 1 species
UACGUAGGUGGCAAGCGUUGUCCGGAUUUACUGGGCGUAAAGGGCGCGCAGGCGGCCGAUCAAGUCUGGGGUGAAAUCUCUCGGCUCAACCGAGAGAGGUCUCUGGAAACUGACCGGCUCGAGAGGAGCAGAGGAAAGCGGAAUUCCCGGUGUAGCGGUGAUAUGCGUAGAUAUCGGGAGGAACACCAGUGGCGAAGGCGGCUUUCUGGGCUCUCUCUGACGCUGAGGCGCGAAAGCGUGGGGAGCAAACCGG